UACGAAGGGGGCUAGCGUUGUUCGGAAUUACUGGGCGUAAAGCGCGCGCAGGUGGUCUUUCAAGUCAGUGGUGAAAGCCCGGAGCUCAACUCCGGAAAUGCCAUUGAAACUGUGAGACUUGAGGACGAGAGAGGUGAGUGGAAUUCCCAGUGUAGAGGUGAAAUUCGUAGAUAUUGGGAAGAACACCGGUGGCGAAGGCGGCGACCUGGUCCGAUACUGACGCUGAGGCGCGAAAGCGUGGGGAGCAAACAGG
rnacentral:rRNA from 1 species